rnacentral:pre_miRNA from 1 species
CUUCCUGUGUCUGGUAGGCAGUGUACUGUUAGCUGGCUGCUUUGUGUGGAUCUAGCAGUCUCUACUACACUGUCACCAGCUGCAGAGCCA